CGGCCUAGGAGGGACUUCCUCCUCUUUCGGCCCCGCCUCCUGGCUCGGGAAUCUCUGUUGGGCGGGGAAGUCUCGCGAGCUUUCCUCCCUGCUCCGCGAGAAAUUGUCUGUAGAAGGUUGAUGGAGCAGUGGUGUUUGUUGCUGAACUGUUUUCCGGAUUUGUAGGGCGGAUGUUGAAUGGCGGGUUGUCAACUCUGGACUUGCUGUCAACUGACCAGAGCCAGGCUGGGAAGUCCGAAUGCGUGGACAGGUCUAGGGCGAAGCCAAGUGUAGGGACUCAUUCUGUCAGCCCGAAAAGGGCUGGGGGCGGGGGUUGAGGGUGUUUGAGUCUUAUGUGAAGUCGAGCCCCUCACCCAUUAAAAUCCGUUAUAGAAUCUGCGAGACUUCAUCCGGGAAAGUGUUCCAUGGCCACGGUGAGCAGUGGGCGAUCUUAAUGUUCCACAAACGCGUUGACAGUUCUUAUUUCCCGCCAAAGCGUUCUUCCGUUAGCCUCUUAGCACGGACCAUUAAAAGGCUCGGAGAGAAACCGGCCGCAGCGACGAGGCAAGCGCAGGCGGGCAGCCUCACAGUCCUCGUGUGCCGCAAGAACGAAGGGUUCCUGGCGUUCAGUUAACGUCGCUCGCCCGAAGGCCGUGGCUCCCAGUGUAGUUCAGCUGCCUCUCCGUUCUCUUAUUUGGUCCCUCAGCUCAACCACUUGAAAGAUGAACAUGGGGAAGGUACACACGUUGGUCCCGCGGUGUAUUUUGGGAGUUGUAGUCAUCUUUAUGGUUGUCAAAGUGUGUUUAUGUUUUGGCGAGAUUAGUUAGGCGUGAACUCAUCACCAUACGUUUAAAGGGGUGUCUUAUGCACCUAGUCGCUUGAUUAAAAACGAUUUCAAAUUUUGAUCUAUCUUUGCUUUUUCAAAAAUGUAUAAAGGAUCAAGAAAGUAUAAAGGAUCAAGAAAAUUAGCCUGGUCUGCAGCCAUUCAUCUGUAAAGACUGCACAUAGAAAAACAGACAGGAGCAUCUCUUUGAGGACCAGGCCAGCCUAUGGAUCCUGCUGAGGACAGAAGAGGUUGCCGGUUCCCUUGGAACUGCAGUUUACUGGUAGUUGCCAUAAACUACCACUGUAAGCCACCACAUGGGUGCUGGGAACCCAGUCCUAACUGCUGAGCCAUCUCUCCAGCCCAUUUCUAAGUUUUGACUGCUGUUUGCCAAACUAUGGACAUUACAUACAUUGAAUCUUGUCCCGCUACUGUAAGACUAAAGAUUAUGAACAACUUCUAUUCACUGAUAGAGGACUACAAGACAAGAUGCUCGAGGUUUUGAAAUCGUUUUGCUCAUUGUCUGCAAUAUUUCCCUCUUUGCCACUAGAAGAAAAAGCAACACAAUAAAAAUUGUAACUCCAUCAAUACUAGAGAUUGCACAUAGACCUCAUGCAUGGUGUGCAAACACUCUACCACUGAACUAUACCCUCAACCACUGGAAUGUCUUCUUACAGAACCCUGAUUAUUCUGGAAUGUAGACCAAGCCAACAUGGAAGAAUCAGAGAACCUCCUGCCUUUGUCUCCUGGGUGUUGGGAUUAAAAAUAUGUGUGCCACAAGGCCUGGCUGCUGCUUCAUUUUUUGACUCAGGAAUUUUAAAGAGUAUUUUUAGAUUUUCAAAUGACAGGCUAUAGGACUAGCACCUUAAGAUUCUGAUGCAAAUGAGAGAGGAACAUUGUACAUUAAUUCUUUCCUAGGUGCCUACUCAAGCAAAGUGUUAACUAUACUUCUAGAAGAUAAUGUGACCAUCACCUCAUGAUCUAGCAUUAUAAAUUUAAGAUAAAGCUGAGGAACUAUGAGAAUAACUGAGUUUUUCAAGAUCUUACCACUGAAAUUUGAAAAUAAAUCUGUAUUUAAAAAACAAAUCUUUAAUAUCUUUAUACUAGAGAUUGCACAUAGACCUCAUGCAUGGUGUGCAAACACUCUACCACUGAACUAUACCCUCAACCACUGGAAUGUCUUCUUACAGAACCCUGAUUAUUCUGGAAUGUAGACCAAGCCAACAUGGAAGAAUCAGAGAACCUCCUGCCUUUGUCUCCUGGGUGUUGGGAUUAAAAAUAUGUGUGCCACAAGGCCUGGCUGCUGCUUCAUUUUUUGACUCAGGAAUUUUAAAGAGUAUUUUUAGAUUUUCAAAUGACAGGCUAUAGGACUAGCACCUUAAGAUUCUGAUGCAAAUGAGAGAGGAACAUUGUACAUUAAUUCUUUCCUAGGUGCCUACUCAAGCAAAGUGUUAACUAUACUUCUAGAAGAUAAUGUGACCAUCACCUCAUGAUCUAGCAUUAUAAAUUUAAGAUAAAGCUGAGGAACUAUGAGAAUAACUGAGUUUUUCAAGAUCUUACCACUGAAAUUUGAAAAUAAAUCUGUAUUUAAAAAACAAAUCUUUAAUAUCUUUAA
rnacentral:sRNA from 1 species